rnacentral:rRNA from 1 species
CCCUUAGAUGUUCUGGGCCGCACGCGCGCUACAAUGAUGAAUUCAACGAGUUUAUAACCUUGGUUGAAAAGCCUGGGUAAUCUUUUGAACUUUCGUCGUGAUGGGGCUAGACCCUUGCAAUUAUUGGUCUCCAACGAGGAAUUCCUAGUAAACGCAAGUCAUCAGCUUGCAUUGAUUACGUCCCUGCCCUUUGUACACACCUCCCGUCGCACCUACCGAUUGAAUGGUCCGGUGAAAUCUUCGGAUUGAGACUUUGAUUUCUUCACGGAAAACGCUGUUUUAAAAAGUUGAUUAAACCUUACCAUUUAGAGGAAGGUGAAGUCGUAACA